GGAUUCCUCUUCUCCGUCGAAUCACUUUCUUCGCCCCCUUUUUCCGCGACGUACACACCCCUAUUCUAAAUCGUCCAGUGACCACAAUGUUUGUAUCCUAUGUACGUAUAUGUGUGUCGCUCCUGGCGGUCUUUUAUAAUUGCUUCAUGAUACUUAUUUAUCGCAGUUAUUAAUAAACAAACGAUACCAAGCGGACGUCUCAUCUCGUAAAUAUUGUAAUUAAUGCUCACGAUAAUUUCUGAGCUACACUGCCAUCAAUUUUCAAACUUCUCUCUGCGCACUCCCACUCUUUUAUUCUUUUACGACACUGUUCGAAUUAUACGAGGAAUUUUUCAUCUUUUUGUUUGUAUUCCCUUCUAAAUUUUUUAAGCGUGAUAUUUUUGUAUAAUAUCGAUGUGAAACCACAUACAACACUGAUAAAAUUAGUAUGAGUAAGGUUAAUUUGUGAACAUACCGGUUGAGGUUAUGAUUUGAUCACAGUACAAUUGAAAAUAUUCAAGAAAAUUUUUACCUAUUUUAGGGCACGAAGGUGUUAGGGAGACCAGAAAUAUCGCGGCAUAAUGCGGUGUACGUGCGACAAGAUUGAAAAUCGAGCUCCACGAGGAUAAUAACGUAUGUUGGCCACGAGAACGAACACGAUGGAACUGUGCCAGCUAACCCGGUGCUUUAAUGUUCAUAUUGUAUACGUUGAAUGAUGAGAUCGAUCGAUGGCAAAUAGUAUAUUUAAAAUUUUUACAGAUUUUAAUCUUUAUUUAAAAAUUUUUUAAUAUAAAUUUUUAUACUAAUUUAAGAAUUGCUAUUAAAAUUAGUUAAUUUUAAAUUUUAAA